AUCCUAGUGAUAACAUAAAGCAUUAUUUAUAAUCACUCCUAUCAUCUUACCCUUAAAUCAAUUUGCUUUUUCAUUCUAAUGAUAAUCCAUCUGCAGUUAUCCAAAAAUGUCCAAGGAGGCCUGUAUACAGUGGAGGUGUUGCUGAAUAAACUCCAAAGUCUACUUUGUGUGAUGUUUGUAAGUUUGUUUGCUGCAUUCAUUUACCCAGAUUCCUUCUCUUGCAAUUAUGCAACUCAGUAUUGAAUACAAUUUGCUCAGUUAAUUCCGCUGGUGCAUCUUCUACCAAUGCUGAAAAGACACACACAAAGAAGUCUUUUCAAUAUGCCCCACAAAUUCUUAAUUUUGAGGACCCUGCAGUGCAUCCAGAGCAUCUACAAAACUUGGAGGAAGCUGGUAUGCACCUAUAUUCUAUGCUUUCUUUUUUAUAGCUUCAGACAUGGCUAUAUAAGAUUAUAAAUUCUAAUAUCGUAGAAUAUGCCCGUGUUGGUGGUGUCGAAGAGGACAGAUCUGAUUUUUAUGAGCAUGAUGGUAACUUAUCUUCCUGUUUUUGUUUCAAUAGUACUUUCACCCAAAUAUAUUUGCCACAAAUAUACUACGUGUAAACAGACUAUGCAGAAGAGUUUGAUGGUGAAGAUUGUUGGUAUGAGGAAAGAAUGAAAAGAUUCAUGGUUAAAUCCUCCAACAAUAUUCUUCCCAUUACUAAAAACAAAGGUCUGAUAACCGGGAAUCAACCGACAUGCUUUCUUGAAUGUACGAGGAGCCUCCUAAAAAUUAAAUUAACAUAAAUACAGUGCUGUGUGAAUCAUACAAACCAAAGAGAAACCAACAAAAAUAUACAUAUUGGAAACCCUAACUUACCAACUCAUCAGAUAUGGGAUUGGACUCCUUCACAAAAUUCACAAACUUUAGACCCCCAUUCUUAAGAGAUACUAAAAAAACAAAAAUGAAAAACAAUUACACUUUAUUACGUGGCACUUGCUAGAGAAAUCAUAAUCGAGAUGUCAUGAGAAUUUUACCAACUUUGGGAUGGCUAUUCUGCAUGUAGUGAACAACAUUAGGGUAUUCAAUCUCUGUCAAAUCUAGCCCAAUAAUGUACACAUUGAAGUCAAAGAUGCCAUUGACCUCAAAAAUGAGCAUUUCACCCCCUUCCAACUCAAAGUCGUCAUACAUAGUUGAAAGCCCGUAAAAGGUCCCUUCCUCAGCUAAGAACUGAACAACAAUCUCAUACCCAUUGUGGAAUUUGAAAAGCAAACUGGGUGCAAACCGGUUACCGUAGGUUCUGAUUAUCUCCCGCGGAACAUUCUGUUUAAAAAACUCAAGUCAAAAACGGAACAAAUCCUAACUCAGAUUUAGUUAAUGCACAAAAUACUCAAAAGCUCAUCUGAAUUGGUCUCCGCAGCUGUGAGGAACUUCACGAAUUUCGGAAGAACUAGACCAUAGGAUUCCAUACCUAAAAUUUUCAGAAAAAAAUAGAAUCCUAUCACAAUACAUGCAAGUACAUUUAUGAAACAGCAUUACAAAAUAGGGAUUCGAAACACAUGUAGGAACAAUCGGACCUUGACCUGCGUUUUAUGAUACUAAUUAAAAGUUCGAAAAGAAUAUAAACCUUAAUCGUUACGGCGCAAGCGAUUCAAAUCCACGUCUUCUACUGUAUUCCCUGGUUCUCCUUGGACGAAGUGUGGCCUUCGAUCUCCCAAGGUGUGCCUCUCCUUAAAGCUCCGAAAACCCAAAACCCAAGCUGGCUCCUUGAGAAAAACGACUGCCUCUCUCAAACCCUAGGAUGUGAAUUCGUUUUUUGUGUGUCUUUCAGCUUUAGGAGAACGAGAAUAUAUAUAGGAUACAGUAGGGAUCAUGGACCAUUAGGUCAGGCCUUCCAAUGACAUUCAGGGCCACGAGGAGAACGAGAAUAUAUAUAGGAUACAGUAGGGAUCAUGGACCAUUAGGUCAGGCCUUCCAAUGACAUUCAGGGCCACGCUCAAUGUCAUUAAAUAUUAAUUCAAUCCACUAAAGAAUUAAUAUUUGCACUACCUUUCCUAAUUCCGUAAAUUAAUUACUCCCUCCGUCCCAUUUUAAUUGACACUUAUUCCUUUUUGGGACGUCCCAAAAAGAAUGAACCUAUUAAACUUACUAUUUUUGAACACCACUUUUCAUUAUUACACCCACUACUUUCUUCCACUAUCUCUAUUUAAUAAUAAUAUAAACACUAUUACACCCACUACUUUCCUCCUCUAUCUCACAUCAAUUAUUAAAAUUUUGAUGGGUCCCACCACUUUACCAACUUUUCAACUAAUUUAAUUUCUUUUACUAUUUUUUCUUAAUCUCCGUGAAAGUCAAAGCAGUUCAAUCUUUUCGGGACGGAGGGAGUAUUUAAUUCGGCUCACAUAUUAAUUGCUUAUAAAUUCCCCAUGUUUAAGAUAUCGGAUGUCUAAUAAUUAAAUUAAUUUCUGACAAUUAAUUUAAUCAAUAUCUUUUAUCCUUGAUCAUCCACUCAACCUUAUAAUUAUGCAAGAACAAAUUUGCAUGCAGGACUAAAGCAUAAUUAUCUUUAUGAGCUUUCAAGAGGACAUCAUCACCCGAAUAUAUUUUUCGGACAUGGUUUCCUUUUAUAGUUAAUAUCCCACUCUGUAUAUAAUGUCAUUGCCCAAUACAUAAAUUCGUAAUUUAAAAUAAUUACUUAACUUAUGAGUCAAGGCAUGUGCAUUAAAUACAAGUGUCAAUCACUAUAUUCGGAUCAAGAACCUAAGCAAUAAUAACAUCGUAGAAUCUUAGUUCUUUAUUGUCAGAAUUAAAGAAACAAUUAUUUUACUAUUUUGAUCCCGUUCAAUAUAUACAAAGUAUACAAGUAUUAUUCAAUAGUCAAGAUAAACUAUUUCUAAAUAAUACUUCAGCGGUUCCAGUGGUUUGUCUAACACCACCUCGACUGUGAACCUUUAUUAUAUUAUAUAAGAAAUUCGACAAUCUAACCUUCUGCUAUCCCAUUUGAUACUAGAUUGUCUACAAUAUAUAAUAUACAGACAAUGUGAAAACAUGCAUUCAAGAUUCUCAAAUAAUUGUUAUAUACUUCAAACGAAUAUUUCAGUAUAACCCUAACAACACAUACCUAUGAAUGACUGAAAUGUACAAGGAAGAGGAUGAGAGAAUUAAGAGAGAGAGUGCAAGAGAUGAUUUUCAAAACGGGACUGUUACCACUCGAACACUUAAAUUCGCAUACCUGUAAUUAGGUUGUAAGUAGAGUAAAUGGGGCUAAUUAAUGUAAUACUGACCUCUUUUACAAAAAUAUAUUUUAUUCAUGUUCCGUUUUUGUUUUGAAACAUUUAAAAUUUAAAAAAUGCAACUUAUAAGCAAAAAAUUGAAUAUUAUUCAUGUCCUGUUUUAUAUUCUUAUAAAACAAUACCUCUUUAAUUUAAUAUAAACUCAAUCAUUAAAAAAUUUAACAUGGACAAAUGCAACUUCAAAUAAACAAACAGCAUACAUCUAAUGAACAAUAAUUUUAUGACUCAAAAAUUGCAUUUUUUAAUGCCAUGUUUUUUGUAUUUUGGGAGGGGAAAAAAGGAACAAUAAUUUUAUGUCACCUUCAUCACAAAUAAAAGAUUUAACAAUAAUUUUAUGUCUUCAAACAUUUUAUUAUAAAAAAAUAAAAAAUUCCAAGCGUAGCGGGUAAGAAUACUAGUAGCAGACCAUGUCCUCAUAAUAGCUUCCGUAUUUACAACAUAUGCCAUUGCUUUUAUAAAGUAUAUACGGUUCCAUUUGUUUUUGCUAAAAUCUGGAGGUUCCAUUUCCCCCGGUUUAUAUCACACGAUGGUUUGUGAAGCAUGGUUUGUACUACUGCUUUGUCUGGAUUCUUUUUCUAUAUUUAUAAUUUAUUAAAUAUAAAAUUUAUCUCUAUAAUAAUGAAUAUUAUAUAUUAAUUUUAAAGUAAAUUUGUACAAUAUUAAAAUAAAAUAUCAUAAAUUAUUUUUUGAAGUGGUCUUUUUAAAUAAAAUCAAAUCUCAAAAAUAAAAAAUUACUCAAAAAAUUAUGAUUUUUGUCUUAUAAAUCAGAAGUUAACUCACAAAUUUUCUAUAUAAACACUAUAAAUAAGCUACUUCUCACUUAUAUCUACUCGUAAAAUUAUUAAUAUUUGAGUAGUUUUAUAUCGAAUAUCAAAUAGUUUUUUUCUAAAAUCAUAUUAUAUCCGAAGUUGAAAGAUAAUAUUCAAUUUAAAUACAAAAUGUUAAUAUGUUAUUAAUUUUAAGUGUUUACAUAUCAUCAUUUUUUUAUUUUAUAAUGAAUGAAUUUUAAAAGUUCUAUUAAAUAAAACUCAAAGAAAGCAUAUAAAAAUAUUGUUCUAAUACGCCCGCAAGGGUUAAAAGAGGGGACUUGUAUCUUCUUAGUCACGGGUUCGACUCCCGAAGGAAGCAGAAUUUGUGAUUAU
rnacentral:lncRNA from 1 species